UCGAAUGAAUCAGGUUGAAAAGUUUCCAUAAAGAACAAAAAAAAAGUAACGCUAAAAAUUCUGUUCUGGUCAAAUUCUCGAAUUCAUUCAUAAAUUGAUUAUUAUGAUCAAUGAUGAUAGUUUAAUCUUCAUUGAUCUUUGAAUCCAUUCAACCAUCUCUUUCUAUCUUGCUUCGAUUUUCAAAACAAAAACCACCAUUAAUUAAUUAAUCAAUCAAAUCUAGAUUAAUCGAUCAAAACAAACAAAAAGCGUGUGUGUUAAUGUGUAGUGGUUUGUGUACCAUUCUUCGAAGGUUAUUGUACCUUUUUUUAAUUCAUUGAUCGAUUUUUAUUAAUAAUUUUCUUCAUUGUCAUCAUCAUCAUCAUCAUCAUCAUUGUUUAAUUCGUGAAUCAUUCACCUGUAAUAGUAAUCACAUUUCAUUUAGGAAUUUUUUCUUUUCAUCUGCCAACAACCACAUGAUAAAGAUAGAGACAAAUUUUUGUUGUUCAAUUUUGGAACGAAAAAAAGUGAUGAUGAAAAACUUGUGAAUUACUAUCUGCCUUAUUUGUUUGGCUUGUUCCACAUUUUGUGUGGUUUUCAUCAUUGCUGGAUCAUUUGAGGCGUCAACAACAUUGCAUUCACAAGAUGAUGAUAAUGACAAGUGAACAAUUCGUUUUAAUCAUCAAGUUGACCGGAUUCCUGUAAUCAAUGUGAAGAGAUUCGAAUGUGUGUGUGUGUGUCCGAUUUAUUGAUCACCAUCAAUUGCACACAUUGUCCAUAUAAACAUUCCGAACAGAAAAAUAUUGAUUGGAAAUCUAGAUGAACAACGAAUGAAUUUAUUGUGAUAAUCAUACAACGGUUGCCAAAUUGAACAAACAAAACAAAACAAAACGAAAACAUAACCAAUUUCUUUCCAUGAUUUAUAUGUGAAUGAAUGCCAUUAUCUGAUGAAUUCUUUUAAAAAUUGAAAAACCAGUAGCUCAUUUGUUGUAUUUUAUCAAUAUAAUCCGAUUGUUUUGUUGUGUGUGUGUGUGUGUGUGGUGAUAUCAUCAAUCGUCGAUAAUCACUAAAUAAAUUUAACCUUGUGGUUGUGGUGGUAGCAAUAUAUCAACAUAUAUAACAAAUAUACAUCAAUUGUGGCCAAAAAAACAGUAACGACGACCAUCAUCAAUAAAAAAUAAUCAAACAACGACAACAAAUUAUGAAUAGUGAAUGCUUUUUGUGUGAUGAAAAACAAACACAUGAUGAUGAACAAUAUUGUGAAAUGAAUUGACGCCCAUUGUGUUUGUGUUGAAUUGUCAAAUUUGUCUUCAUUCUGCUACACAUCAUCAAUUUGAUUAAAAGUGAAACGAAAAUUAAUUUUUCUUGUUCAUCGUCAUUGUGGCGACCUUAUUUUUUGGUGUAUGAGUAAUUUAUAAUUGUGUUAUGUAAUAAAAUAUUUUGGAAA